GAUGAACGCUGGCGGCGUGCUUAACACAUGCAAGUCGAACGGGAAUUACAUUUUAGCUUGCUAAGUUGUAAUUCUAGUGGCGGACGGGUGAGUAACGCGUGGGUAACCUGCCUUAUACCGGGGGACAACAGUUGGAAACGACUGCUAAUACCGCAUAAGCGCACAGUAUCGCAUGAUACAGUGUGAAAAACUCCGGUGGUAUAAGAUGGACCCGCGUCUGAUUAGCCAGUUGGCGGUGUAACGGACCACCAAAGCGACGAUCAGUAGCCGGCCUGAGAGGGCAAACGGCCACAUUGGGACUGAGACACGGCCCAAACUCC
rnacentral:rRNA from 1 species